AUAUGAAAUCAAUCUAAUGCAUGUGUGGCAGGUUGAGUGUUGCUCCUCCUCCACUCAGGUGAUUUCUGGUGGGCAGAUUGCAGAGUGGUUUCACCUGUAUAAGUGCUGCGCCUUCUCUGGCGCGCACACUGCUGCCUGGCACUCGUGGCGAAGACUCGGUGUGGCGUCUGUUAGUUGUUGGUUUGUUGUCGGUUGGUUGUCGGUUGGUGUGGCGUGCUUCAGUCACUUGAAGGUGAGUAGGCAUGACGCUACUUUCGUGCAACUUUAUGAUGACAAGCAGGUGCCCAGUGAUCGCGAGUGUUUUUGUAACUUUCCAGCGUUGUUGGCCGUGUUGUUCGGGGGCGGCAUUGUGAAGAGUGAGGGGAGUGUGGCAUCCGCUCUGUACUGUUGCCGCAGCCGGUGAUCAGUUUCGGGGGCGUAAAGCUCUCUUCGUUCGGCUGUUGGAGCCGCAGCGGUGCUUUUGCUUUUCUUCCUCCUCCUGUGCUCUGGUGAAGCUGCCCUGCACGGCUCUGUGACGUAGCCUACACCUGGCGAUCCCAAACGUAAACCAUCCACGGCCUCCGGUCCUGGGGCGGCCGCUCUGUCUUCGCCAGCCGCUCCGUCUUCUCCAUCCACUCCGUCGUCUUCAUCAUCUUCGGCUGCUCCGGCACCGUUGCCUUUUUCCACACAGUCCGAUGUGGCGGUUGCAGUCCCACCACAACUCUUAUCGGUUUGGUUAAUUGUCUGCUUUUCCUUUCAUCUUUUUGUGUUUGUGUUCUUUAGUUUAUUUGUUUGGGUUAAAUCCUAUACAUACAUAUAUUUUUGUGUUGCGUUUUGUUGACCCAUUUGGGGUUAAGCAUAUCAAUAUUUUCUUAUUAUUUCUGAUCUAUUGCUUUGGGGUUCAACUGAUUAUUUUCUGUUUAGUUUAACAUAGCUGUUGGGUUUGUGUUUGGGGUGUUAAAUACGCCUGGCCCCCACCCACAGUUAAAUUUCGUUUGUUUCCUUAUUACUUGUCUUAAGAAUUAGUUGGGUUUCUGUAUAUUUGUAUUUGGGUUUAAAUAUUUGGUUAUGAGUCAGUUCUGUUCCUGAGUGUGAGUGUGUGUGUGUGUGUGUGUCCUCUGUUUUAAAUGAUUGUCGUAACAACCUGAGUGUCUCGCCACAACAGUAGUGUAAUUUUUGUGUUUCUUUCUUGUGUUUCCAGGACAGGAGCUGGUGCAGCGGGCGGCAGGCUUGGUUUGUAGUGGUUCUUUUGUGGUUUUGAGUUGAUUUAGUCUGACCGCCUCGCUACAGCCUAGCUCUGUGCCUGUUGUAUUUAUUUCUACUUUGGGGUUUUGACUUGACACUUCAGUGGUUGUUGAGAUCCCUGAGCUCUUUUAAUUCUGCUUACCGUAAAUAAAUAAAAUUAUAUCUUUUGUAA